rnacentral:lncRNA from 1 species
GCUUUAGUCCUUGUCACUGCACUGAAAAAAUUCUUGUCAAGAUCACUAGUGACCUUCAGAGAGCCAAACCCAAUGGUCAUUUCUUUGUUCUAUUCCUACUCUCUGCAUCAGCAGUAUUGACAUAUUACUCCUUCCUUGAUGCAUUUUCAUUUGGCUUUUUGGAAUAAUUCUCUUUCAGUUAUCCUCCAUCUUCACCACUCAUGUUUUUCUAGUUUUUUAUUAUUGUUCGUUUGGUUUUUUUUUGUUUGUUUUUUCUGGUUCUUCCUUACCUGUCAAAUUCUCCUCUGUCGACAUCCACUUCUUGUGUUAGCUCAUUCAGGGUCUUGGAUUUCAGUGUCAUCUGUAUUUGGAUGACUUCAAAUUUGUAUCUUCUGCCUGAACCUCUAAAUUCCAGGCUUAUAUAUCCAGUUCUCUCCUUGACAUCUCCAUCUGGAAGUCUAAUAAGUACAUCAAACUUAAGUCCACUAUCAAGCUCUUGCACCAGCUGCUUUCACCCAUCCAAUCCUGCUUCAGUUGAAGUCAUCCCACACACUGUAAAUGGCAACUGUAUUUUUCCAGAUCUGCCAACCAAAAACUUGAGAGCCAUCCUCUUCUCGACACUGCAUCCAAUCUGACAGUAAAUUCUUGAGGCUCCUUCACAAUGUAUCUAAAAUUUGAUUGCUUUUUAUCUCCUUUGUAGUCAGCGCUGUAGUCCAAGCCACAAACAUCUCUUCUCUAGGUGACUGUCAUAGUCCCCGAACUGUUUUUUCUGCUUCACUUCUGUCCCCUGAGUCUAUUCUGCACACAGAAGACACAGUCACGCUCUAGAAGCCUUUGUCAGAUCAUUAUACUCCUCUCUCCACAGUGCUCAGAGUACUCACAUCGUCCUUCAAGGAGCUACAUGACCUACCCACAGCACACCCACAGGUUAUAUCAAAGCACACCACCAGCCUUCUGCCCUUGUCUCCUUCCACUUUUCCCCUCACUGUGUCUUAGCACUCACCCCAGGGCCUUUGCACUUGCUAUUUUCUCUACUUGCAGUUUUCUUCUCCCACAUGUCCACAGAGCCUACCCGUUCAACUCUCUUCAGAACUUUGCUCAAAUGUCACUUUCCUUAUAAGACUUUUCCAGACCCCCUUGCACAAAGCAGUGCCCUUCCCCACCCCAUCUCAAUUUUCUCCAUAGCACUAACCUUCAUCCAGCAUAUAUAUAGUUAGGUGUUUCUUUAUUUGACUUCUCCCAAUAGAGUAUAAGCUCCAUAAGGACAUGGACUUUGUUGUAUUAACUAACUCUUCCCCAGGGUCUAGGACUAUAUCUGGCACUUGGUAGGUACUUGAUGUGUAUUGACUGAAUGAAUGAGUUGAUGAAUUUUUUUAAAAUGGCCUCACCCACGCCAUAUUGAAGUUCCCAAACUAGGGAUUGCAUCCGAGUCACAGCUGCGACCUAGGUCUCAGCUGCAGCAAUGUAGGAUCCUUAACCCACUGGGCCAGGAUGGAGAUCAAACUGAUGUCUCCAAAGUGAACAGAGCUACUGCAGUCAGAUUCCAAACCCACUGUGCCACAGUGGGAACUCUGAGUUGAUGUAAACAUAACAAUACAAACUAUCCUUCCUCUUCCUCCAACUAUACCAUGGUUUGCUGGUUAAUUAGGAUAAGCUACCUUCAUCCUGUUCUGGAAUUUCUCUGUGAUACCUUAUUCUCCUCAGUUCAGAGAGUUUACAGCACAUUAUUGUGGAACCCUUCUUAUUUUACAAACUGGUCUUUGUUUAGCUCCUAAUCAUGCUAGUUGUUAUUGCCAUCCCCCUAAAGGGAAUGAAGCCCAGAAUUUAUGUACAAAGACUAUUUAAAUGGGUUUAAUUAAAGUGGGAAAAAAAGAACAUGUGUAUGUAUGUGUUAUGUGUUUAUCAAAAAAUGUAGUCAUCUUUGACCUCAGCUGACCUUCAUUGAUGUCUGAGAAAAUUCUUCUAUUUAGUAUAACUAAUUUAUAUCAGAUGUGCUUUUCUCCUUUCCAUUUGUUAAGAAAGAAGCUAUAAAACAGUGGUCUUUUCAGAUAUUAUACUUCUCCCAAAGGAGCAGAAAAGGGACCACCAAACCAUCAGAGAAAGAUAUUAUGAAGUGGUAUAACUUGAAAUAUUAUUUUGAGCAAUAUGAAGACAAUGCAUCUCAUUAGAUUUUUUUUUCCAGUAAGAAUAUAGGACAUCCAUAUCCCAUGUUGAUUUCAGCAUCACAGAACUAGACUGAUUGAAAUUCAGCCUAUUUCCAAUUUGUAAUGAAAUGUAAUUGUGGCUUUUCUUUUAAUUUUUAUCUGGCAAGUAGUAAUCUUACCAUUGACAUCAAUGGGGAAAAAAAGUGUCUUCGCUUGGCAGGAAGCAUUUAUGGCCGUAUAUAAUGCAGAUAAGUUUAUUUGAGAAUGUAGACAGCUUUCUAGACAAUCACUGGAGAUAGGACCUUAAUUUAACCCCAAGCCUGAAGCAUUUCCUCUGGGAUGUGGAUGACAGGUAACAUGGCGGAGGGCAGAGAAAGUAUAGAUUUAUUGAAAAAUGGAUAUUGCAAGCAGGGAGUGUUAAAUUUCUUCCUCUAAAUCAUUGUUUAAAAGGACAGACUUAGAUUCUUGCUUCAGGAUGAAAACCCUAAAUGUUGGAAGAGAGAGAAAUUUUUUAAAUCGUAGGUAGUUGGCAUUUUCGACAUUUCAUUUCAAAAGAUAAGUGAUGUACUUACUUCUAGCUCAUCUUGCAAUAAGACGACAUGACAACACUUGCUUUUAAUAUCCUCUACACAGGAUACCUGGGUGAUUUCUCAUUUAAAGAAAAUGAGUCCUUUACUGAUAGUUUGGUAAUCUUUCCUGUGGGAGCAACAGAAAAAAAAAAAAUCUAUUCAUGGCACUAAUGAACAUCAUAUAAUAACCAGCUUCUUUAAAUGGUGGGGUAAAUAGAUCUUUAUUAACAAAGAUUAUGUAUUAUGUGUUUCUAUAUCACGAUCUUCAAGAAUAACCUUUUAACAAAGUGAAUAAAUAAACCAUAAUGGGUUUCUUGCCCUUUCCUAAGCAAAAUAUCAAGAACUUCUGCAAGGGCAGAGGUUAAGUAACUCCUUUAUUUACUAAUGAUAAAAUUAAUUGUGUGAAACACUCUACCAGGUUGGAAAAGGAAUUUUUCUUUUAACUAACACUUGGCCCUCACAGUGAUUUUUAAAAAACGUAAUUCUUCAAAUAAUGCUUAUCCUUAUCUCUCUUAUAAGAGUUAGUUAAAUUCAUUAUUGCACGCAAAACACUGGCUAUAUUCCAUUUUAAAUGGCCAGCUAAGAACAGUAAAUAACUGUUCUUUAUUGGGGCCGCUCAGAGUAGUAGUUUCAAUAUCCAUUAAUAGUAAAUUUUCCUUAUUAUCCCUUUCAUCGGGUUGAACUAACCAAGUGGCAGAGUUCUGCGGCUAAUUAUAAAAUAGCCUACAUUAUAGAAGAAUUAAAACAGCAAAUGAAUCAUCGGGAGAGCUGCCAUGGUUUUUCUAACAUUCUCCACACACGCCUUGUGAAUUUUAAUAUAUAAUUUUAAUUACGCAAUUCUUCGCAGCACACUCUUCUCAUUACUUAGGCAGCGUGUAUGUGUGUUUCUUUUACCUUGAUUACAAAGUCAAACCAUUUUCGCUGAAAUUAAAAAUAUCUGUGUAUUUAUAGAGAAAACAGAGGGCUGUGUUUUGAUGAGGCCUCCAGAGGAAGAGGGCAAAGCGUAACCCUAUAAGGAAAGGAAGCCUGCCUGGUCCUCGUAUCAGACGCCGGCUAACGAAAUCCUCAGAGGGUUUGUUACAUGAGCCAGUGGGCUGAGGCAACCUUUAACAUGCAGGAAACUGGAGUUAAUUAAACCGUUACCAGGAUCCUAUCUGUCAUCCUAGCCCUGUGCUCUAUCCCAGGUCCAUUUACAUUUUAGAAUUGAAAAAAUGUUCUCAGGACUGUUGAUAAACCAUGUUUACUGUCUCCAUUGAUUUGCUACUUUUGCAUAACCUUUAUGUUUUAAUUAUCUUAUAGUAUUUCUGGAAGGCUCUUGUGUAGCAGCCACUAUCUGAUUAGACUUUGCUGGCAAUUAGGAGACACUAGGAGUACACCUUUUAAUGGAUUAAUCUGCUUCAGAGUUAUUAGAUGACUGCAGGAGUGAAACUGCUAAGAAAAAAUAAUGCACCAUUAUGGAAAGGCUGUUUUCAAACCACAGUUGUGCUUACUGUAGAGCAGACAGCCUCAGAUUAUUUUCCUGCUUUAUUCAGUAGAAGGCCUAAGGGGGGGGGAUUAUUUUGCAGAUAGUAUGUCAGAAAAAAAUCAUACACCAGGUGGCUAUCAAUGGAUAAUUAAGAUAAAGAUUUAACACCUGGUGAGCUUGCAUUCUGUGAAAGACUUGAGGCCAGACCUUUUCCUAAUAUAAAUAUUUUUAUUGAAUGAGAUCUUAGCAUAACAUACAUGAAAAUAGCAAGGUGUGCUUAUUCAUUUUACCUAAUGUUUUUUGAGUGUUUUACAGUGUAUCAGGCACUGUACUACGAACUAAUUACACAAACCAUCUCAAGAUUAUAGAAUCAUAUUAGCUCACUUUACACAAGAAGAAACAGAGGCACAGAGAGAUUCAGUCACGUGCCUGAGAUCACAAAGCCUGCAGGUGGAUUUCCAAUUUAGGGGAUCUGAUUCUAGAACUCCGUAGCUUAACCCUGGGUAAUAUCUGAUGGGAUAUAUAUUUCAAUAAUCCUGAACAUCACUAAAAGAAGAAUGAUGAGGCCAAAUUAUUCUUAGACAUUUUAAUAUCC